rnacentral:lncRNA from 1 species
GUUUAGCAUACAGCCCGCGCACACCUCUUCAUUCAAACGGUGACAUCGUGUGACUCAGGUGUUUGUUUAAAAGACUGCUUGAGUCUCUCCUGUAAAGACAUCUUGGUCAUUUAAAGAUUGAGCAGUUUAAUUUUAUCUAUCAAAUAACUGUCCUCAUCACUGAUUUUCUGGAGCUCAGCCAUUCAACAACACACAUUGUCAACAGUCAAUCAACAGAUCUGAAUGCACAGAUGAACAUUACAAGAUGAGACUGUUGAAAGACAAAACAUUUCAGAUAGUACCAUAUACAAGUUUGAAAGAAGCACUAAAUACAAGAGAUAAAGGACUCACAGGCAAUCCAGGAGGACCAGGAGGACCAAUUGGACCAGAAGCACCACUGAUGCCCUAAAUAUAAAGAGCAAAUGGUUAGAAAGCAUAACUUCAUAUGACUGAUUUGUCAAUGGAUGUAAGAGACAAGCAUGUGAAGUGUUAGUUAGCAGAACUUCAAAACAGCCGUGUGAGGCGAUGAGGCGUUUACUUUUUUUUUUUUUGAAAGAGAUGAAAACAACUCUUCUAAUCAUAUCAUUCCUCUGUUGUGCACUGGCAAUGAUCAUUACACUUCAUUAAACU